rnacentral:lncRNA from 1 species
CAUGAAGACUGGUUUUAAUUCUGUUUAUGUUGGAGUAUUUCAGCCUACAUUUAUGUCUAAUAUCACUGUCAUUGUUAACAAUAGUAAAUUCAGUAGAAAUAAUUAUUUAGCUUUAACAACAGGGUCAUGCAUGCAUGCGGGAACUCACUAUCCUCAUGAGAACAAUCAGUGCAAAGUAUUGAACAUUGUACUUACUAAUAUUAAAGUGUCCAAUAACAUGUUAAUUAACAGAUGUUAAAGUUACUAACUCCAGAAAUGCAGUGUUCACAAUUCAAAAUCUCGCAACACUUAGUAUUGGUGGGGUCAGUGAUUUUUCUGAUAACUAUGGCUCAGUAUUUAAAGAAAUAAAGCAGAGAGUGGAGCAGCAUUUGAUCUUAAUGGCAACACUCAUAUUUAUCCUGAAGUUCCUGGUAAUGGAUAUAAUGUUACUUUCAUUGACAAUGUUGCUGUGACUAAAGGAGGAGCUAUAUAUGCUAAUGAUGAUGCAUCUAACUUAUGCAUUUUCCAGAUGCUUAGCAAUAAAACUAAGAUGACAUUCAAAAAUAUCACUGCUGGCAAAUCAGGUAGCUCUAUAUACAGUAACAAUAAUGUUCCAAUGUUUCAGGUACAAUGAAUUAGGAUCUGGACAACUUAAAAAACCAAACAGUCACUGUCACUUUAUAACUUAACAUUUACUUCUGUUUCUUCAUCCCAUCUUCAUAGUAUCUCAACACUUUUUCGCAUUGGAAUUAUGUAAAGCAGAAGAAUUUCAUUUAAGUCAAAUAUAAGCAGGUCAAACACUGAUGCUAC